rnacentral:rRNA from 1 species
CAGCAUGGCCUUUAUAUCCUGGGCUACACACACGCUACAAUGGCCAACACAAUAGGUUGCUAAGCCGCGAGGUGGCGCCAAUCCAUAAAGUUGGUCUCAGUUCAGAUUGUAGGCUGCAACCCGCCUGCAUGAAGAUGGAGUUGCUAGUAACCGCAGGUCAGCCAUACUGCGGUGAAUACGUUCCCGGGCUU